GCUAUUCUGUCAUUUAUAGUUUGACUCUGACAUGUAUGAUAAUCUUACCACAGUGGGAUACUGGCAUAUUUUGUGUCCCAAAGAAGAGACUGGUGCUUGGGAUAUCAAGAGUCAUCUACCAUUUUUGCAGAUGUAUUUCCCAUUUUUGCACCCCUGGUCAUGGCCUGCCUUUCUGCACACAGGAAGAAUUCAACGUGAGAGGGUGAGCACAGUAGGAACAAUUUAUCGUGAAUGCUGCUAGUUGUGAACGUGGGCGUUCUCUGUUCUGGCCACCUGGCUUAGUCACCCUGCGAAGUUAUUGAACUCAGCAGGGGCUGUGUUGGCGCUGAGAUAGUGAAAAAGAAGCAACUAUUAGCCUUUUUUUGUACCGUGUUUUGAAGAGUCAGUUUCAAUAUCUGGGUGGAAAUGUGUCUGCUGUACAGCUUUGUUACUAAGAUAGCUCAGGAAGAUUUGACAGAGUGGUGUUAAAAAGUUAAAUCACAAAUGACUGUUCAGAGGGACAGUUCUGCUGAUAUUAGUUGGCAGGAGCUGCUAGAGAUGGGCAGGCUGGUUUAUGACCAGAUGUAAAGCAGCUCUCAGGGUCCUCCGCGGGAGUUUUGCUGCCUCUUGGUGCUGGCGUGAGCGAUUCCCUCCCAUCGGCCGCUCCCAACCUUCGGUCUGUCCCUCCUCUCCAUCCCAUUCAGCACGUGCUGCUGGAAGGACAGAUGUUAGGGUCCUUGCUCUGGGCUGCGAUUGACUGUGUUCAGUGUAUGAUUAUCCCUUCUUUUUUG